rnacentral:lncRNA from 1 species
UUUUUGUAUAGUAUAUAAUCAUUAUCUGAACAUCUGGCUUGUUGUGCAUGUCCGUACAAUUUAUUCCGAUAUCCGAUAAGGUCAUCAACUGCAAGUCGAAUGUUGCUAUUCGGAGGACAGAUCGAGGCAAAAUGUAUCAGCAGACAUCGGAGAAGUGUUAAAUCCAGAUGUUUUGUAGUAAGUGUGGUUUUUGCCGGACAACAACAGAAUUGUGCCGUGCUUUUUAAAUUAUGACAGGACAGUGUUUGUCCUGUUUUGUCUAGUAUUAUGUUUAAUUGAUCAGGAUGCAAAACUCUACUCACGGGAGUUGUUAGUGGUAAUUUUCCAUUGAUACACUGGCAACAUGUAUAUUUAUUAUAACAUAAAUGAUAUAUUUCAUGCUGGUUCAAGUUUAUAAAAUCCUCAAAAGUUUGAUUACAGGCGUUUAGUUCAUUAUCAAACAACAAAAUCAGCGACUCUUUUCCAUGAUCAACAAUAAUUGUGGAGAUUCUAUAAAAGUUGUCUCUCUCCUUCUGUAUGCUUAACCUUCAAUA